UACAGAGGGGGCAAGCGUUAUUCGGAAUUAUUGGGCGUAAAGGGCGCGUAGGCGGCUUUGCAAGUGGCGGGUGAAAUCCCUCGGCUUAACCGAGGAACUGCCUGCCAGACUGUGAGGCUUGAGACCGGGAGAGGUGAGUGGAAUUCCCAGUGUAGCGGUGAAAUGCGUAGAUAUUGGGAGGAACACCAGUGGCGAAGGCGGCUCACUGGACCGGAACUGACGCUGAGGCGCGAAAGCGGUGGGGAGCAAACGGGG
rnacentral:rRNA from 1 species